AGAACGAACGCUGGCGGCAUGCCUAAUACAUGCAAGUCGAACGAACACUUCGGUGUUAGUGGCGCACGGGUGCGUAACGCGUGGGAAUCUGCCCUUGGGUUCGGAAUAACAGUUGGAAACGACUGCUAAUACCGGAUGAUAUCGAAAGAUCAAAGAUUUAUCGCCCAGGGAUGAGCCCGCGUAGGAUUAGCUAGUUGGUGAGGUAAAGGCUCACCAAGGCGACGAUCCUUAGCUGGUCUGAGAGGAUGAUCAGCCACACUGGGACUGAGACACGGCCCAGACCU
rnacentral:rRNA from 1 species